UACGAGGGGAGCAAGCGUUGUUCGGAUUUACUGGGCGUAAAGCGCACGUAGGCGGAUUGUUAAGUCGGGGGUGAAAUCCUGGAGCUCAACUCCAGAACUGCCUUCGAUACUGGCGAUCUCGAGUCCGGGAGAGGUGAGUGGAACUGCGAGUGUAGAGGUGAAAUUCGUAGAUAUUCGCAAGAACACCAGUGGCGAAGGCGGCUCACUGGCCCGGUACUGACGCUGAGGUGCGAAAGCGUGGGGAGCAAACAGG
rnacentral:rRNA from 1 species